GGUUGAUUGUCUGAGUGGCUGAAGGUGCUACCUUGGAAAGGUAGUGUACUCUAGGGUACCGGGGGUUCAAAUCCCUCAUCAACCGCCA
rnacentral:tRNA from 1 species